GACGAACGCUGGCGGCGUGCCUAAUACAUGCAAGUAGGACGCAGUUGCGAACGGGUGAGUAACGCGUAGGUAACUACCUAUUAGAGGGGGAUAACUAUUGGAAACGAUAGCUAAUACCGCAUACUAGUAGAUGGAUCUGCGUUGUAUUAGCUAGUAGGUAGGGUAAUGGCCUACCUAGGCAACGAUACAUAGCCGACCUUGGAGGGUUAUCGGGCACCCGGGGACUGGGACACGGGCCAGACACCUACGGGAGGCAGCAAGAGGGGAUCUUAGGCAAUUGGGGGAACCCUUACCGGGCAACGCCGCGGUAGGGGAGAAGGUUUUCGGAACGUAAAACUCUGUUGUUAAGGGAGCGGUACUUAACCAGAAAGGGACGGCUAACUACGUGCCAGCAGCCGCGGUAAUAC
rnacentral:rRNA from 1 species